UUGCUUGGAUACUAUGUUGAUGGAAACUCCCAUAUUCUUGAGUUUGCAUCUAAUGGUUCUCUUAAUGACUUUUUAUGAAAUUGGUUAUCUAGAAUUCUAGAUAUGAGUUACCAUUCUUUCAUAUGCAUUUUUCUAAUUUACCUCUCACAUGUGUUUACACCUUUUUUACACCAUUUUCCACAAUGCUUUCGUUAACUAUUUCCACAUUAAAUUUACCUUUUAGUUUCAUUAUUAGAUUUUAUAACGUUUCCUUUUGGGUUUUUUUCAACACUAUCCAGACCGCUCGUGACAAUGAUAUAAUUGCAGCAGGUGUAAUCUUCCGGUCUCUGGUUUUGGCCUCUGGAGUGCUGCUUCCGCUUAUCAGAGGCGUCAGUUAGGUAGCUGCAGUUUGGGGGUACUGAUAUACUAUUCAGCUUUUGCUAUUCUCAUUUUCUGCAGGUUGUUUAGGCAAUCUUGAUCAAUUUUGAUGUGCUCGCGGUCGAAGAUCCUAAAGACUCUCUGCGUCAGAACUCUACCUUGCUACUGAACUGAUAUAUAGGUGUUGGUCACUGGAUUGAUAUAUUGGAUUUUGGAGUGUAUUUUGUUUUGCAGCCUCGUGACCAGACAUGGAAAGGAAUGAGAGCUAUUGCAGAAUCGAGAAGAGAAUUCAAUCUCCCUAUACCUGUAAACAAAGAUUCUAUUUACAAGAAAAUUGAAAGGAAACUUUGAAAGUUCAAUCCAUUGCGGAAGUUUAAGGAUGGGGAGAAGAGAAAAGCUAAUGAAGCAUUGAAAGCAAAAGAGGAGGAAUUGUCUUUUUGCAGGGUACCAAGCUUCAAAAGAUGAUAUCAUUGUUUUUUCAAAUUUGUCAUCAGUUCCAUCAAAUGAAUAUGUGAAUGUUGCUAGAUGGUACAAGCACAUUGAUGAUUUGUUGAUAAUUUCUGAUUGUGUUUGGUCAAGAAACUGAGGAAGAGAAGAAGGCAGCUGAGGAACGGGCAGCAGCCAUGAAAGCAUCUAGCAAAAAGAAAGAAUGCACCCUUGAGAGUUAGAGGAUCUCUUUCCGAAGUGAUAGUUUGAAGCAUUUCAUGGGCUAUAUGAAAGAAACAAGGUUCAGCAAAGAGACAGAAAUCAUCGGCUUCGAAAACAUGUCAUCAUUGGAUUUCUCAUUGGCCAAAUGUUCUUAAAGUAGUAUUAACCGUGUUUCCUUUAUAUCAACAAAUUGAAGGCCAUGUGUUACAAUUGUUGUUAUGUUGUUUAUGAAAUGUUAGUAUAGGUUGCUAUAGAUUCAAUGAUAUAGGUUAUUCAAGAGUAGAAAUUUAUAAAGAAACUUGGAUAAGUCUAUUAUUCAACGUUAACUCGUGGCAGCUGGUUGGGAGCUUGAAUAAAUCUAUUUCAAUGAAUGGUAAGCAGGCCAUUUUGUAUGAUAAAUUGAAAUGUCUCAGUGACAAUAAGAAAGAAUCACAUGAGAGAAUGUGUACUAAAUACUCUAGAUUCUUGGCUAGAAGUGGUUCAUCUUGGCAAAAUGGACUGUCCUGACUUUGUAUUCAGUUAUCCUUGUGCUCAUUUGUCUUUGUCUUUGAACUUGAUGUUAAUGUAGGUUACAUAUUUUACAAUUGCUUUGAUGGAUUCUAAACUUGGUGGAAGGGCCUAAGGAUAUAGUAUAUUGGCUAUCCAUGAAAGUGCAUUGGUUAA